GCUCAGAACGAACGCUGGCGGCGUGCUUAACACAUGCAAGUCGAACGUGAUCCAGAGCUUGCUCUGGUGAAAGUGGCGCACGGGUGAGUAACGCGUGGAUAACCUGCCCUGGUAUCUGGGAUAACAUCUCGAAAGGGGUGCUAAUACCGGAUAAGCCCACGGGACCUUCGGGUCCUGCGGGAAAAGGUGGCCUCUAUUUAUAAGCUACCGUAUCAUGAUGGGUCCGCGUACCAUUAGCUAGUUGGUGGGGUAAUGGCCUACCAAGGCGACGAUGGUUAGCUGGUCUGAGAGGAUGACCAGCCACACUGGAACUGAGACACGGUCCAGACUCCUACGGGAGGCAGCAGUGGGGAAUUUUGCGCAAUGGGGGAAACCCUGACGCAGCAACGCCGCGUGAGUGAUGAAGGCUUUCGGGUCGUAAAGCUCUGUCAGUGGGGAAGAAAUGGCAACGGCUAAUACCCGUUGUUCGUGACGGUACCCACAAAGGAAGCACCGGCUAACUCCGUGCCAGCAGCCGCGGUAAUACGGAGGGUGCAAGCGUUGUUCGGAUUUAUUGGGCGUAAAGCGCGUGUAGGCGGUUUUUUAAGUCUGAUGUGAAAGCCCUGGGCUCAACCCAGGAAGUGCAUUGGAUACUGGAAGACUUGAAUACGGGAGAGGGUAGUGGAAUUCCUAGUGUAGGAGUGAAAUCCGUAGAUAUUAGGAGGAACACCGGUGGCGAAGGCGGCUACCUGGACCGAUAUUGACGCUGAGACGCGAAAGCGUGGGGAGCAAACAGGAUUAGAUACCCUGGUAGUCCACGCCGUAAACGAUGAGAACUAGGUGUUGCGGGUAUUGACCCCUGCAGUGCCGCAGCUAACGCAUUAAGUUCUCCGCCUGGGAAGUACGGUCGCAAGAC
rnacentral:rRNA from 1 species